rnacentral:rRNA from 1 species
AUUGAACGCUGGCGGCAGGCUUAACACAUGCAAGUCGAGCGGAGAUGAGGUGCUUGCACCUUAUCUUAGCGGCGGACGGGUGAGUAAUGCUUAGGAAUCUGCCAUUUAGUGGGGGACAACAUUCCGAAAGGAAUGCUAAUACCGCAUACGUCCUACGGGAGAAAGCAGGGGGAUCUUCGGACCUUGCGCUAAAUGAUGAGCCUAAGUCGGAUUAGCUAGUUGGUGGGGUAAAGGCCUACCAAGGCGACGAUCUGUAGCGGGUCUGAGAGGAUGAUCCGCCACACUGGGACUGAGACACGGCCCAGACUCCUACGGGAGGCAGCAGUGGGGAAUAUUGGACAAUGGGCGGAAGCCUGAUCCAGCCAUGCCGCGUGUGUGAAGAAGGCCUUUUGGUUGUAAAGCACUUUAAGCGAGGAGGAGGCUACCUAGAUUAAUACUCUGGGAUAGUGGACGUUACUCGCAGAAUAAGCACCGGCUAACUCUGUG